AGUGAACGCUGGCGGCGUGCCUAAUACAUGCAAGUCGAACGGAGUGGCGCACGGGUGAGUAAGGUAUAGCUAAGCUGCCCUACACUAGAGGACAACAGUUGGAAACGACUGCUAAUACUAUAUAGUGUAGGGUGAGGCUAUAUUGUAUCAGCUAGUUGGUGAGGUAAUGGCUCACCAAGGCUAUGACGCAUAACUGGUCUGAGAGGAUAAUCAGUCACACUGUACCUGAGGCACGGUCCGGGCUCCUACGGGAGGCGGCAGUAGGGGAUAUUGCUCAAUGGGGGAGACCCUGGAGCAGCAACGCCGCGUGGAGGAUGACACUUUUCGGAGCGUAAAGUCCUUUUGUUAGGGAAGCGGUACCUAACGAAUAAGCACCGGCUAACUCCGUGCCAGCAGCCGCGGUAAUUC
rnacentral:rRNA from 1 species